CCAUAAUUAAACCAUGGCAGUCAGAACGGACAGGAAUAAUCUCUAAUCAGACAUAAUUUCUAGUGGGGUAAAAAUGGGAAUACAUUCAUACUACUCCCUUAUUGUUACUUCUUUAUUAAUACAUUGGUCCUACUUUUGGAUGAGUUUGUUUCAUGCUUUCCUUUGAUCCCCACACUAUCCCCAUCAUACACACACACACACAUAUAUAAAUAUUCAUGCAUACAUUCAUAUUGUCGAAAACAAAAAGAUAUUUUCCUGCGUAUACAUUAUCACACAGCCUCAAAUCUGAUCUUCUGUGGCAGAGAUUGUAUUCCCAAUUUCCUCUUAAAAAAAAAAAAAACAUGAUUUCAUUGGGGUCAGAGCAUUGCCAAGAUAAAAAAAAAAUGUAUUUCCCACCCAUCCUUAAUAAAUAGAAAUGUCCGUGUGAUGUCGGUCAAAAUAUCGGCUUUGAGCUUCCAAGGAGGUUGACUCAAAUAGUCUAUACCCUAUUACCAUUGGUUCUUCAUCUUUUCUUCUUUUUGAAGAAAAAACUACCUGAAUUACAGCAAAGAUCUUGUAAAAAUAAGAACAAGAACCACAACCUGAAAAUUGUGGCAAAGAAAGCUAAAAGGACAUGAUAAUAUCCCCAAUGAAAUGAUGUUGUCCCCAUACCAGCUUCUUAUGGCCUAUCUUUGGACUUCCCUUUAUUUGGAAAAAAGCAAAUCAAAAAUCAAUUUUUAGCCACUGUAAUAUAAGUUACUUGCUAUAUGUAGUCCACUGCAAUUCCUACUGAUAACACCUCCUAAAUUUUGUCAGAAAUAAGAAUUUCAGAUAAAUGAAUGUUAAAAUUGAAGCAAUCUGUUGUGGUUGAUGACAUUUCACAUUUAACUGGCUCACAGCUAAAAGGUGCCAAGUGUAAGUUAAUUUAUUGAUUUGCCCAGAGUGAUAGAUUGAAACAACUUUAUCUUAGAGGAUUUACCAGGAGGUUACAUCCCUUCGGAUUACUGAAACCAUAGUCUAUGACGUAGAACAUUUGGCACAUCGAUCAUCUAUUUGCAUCAAAGUAGACCCUAAAUUGUUGUGGGCAAAAUCUUGACUUUGUCUUUGGGCAUUCCAUGGUUCCAUAUCUACCAAGCAGUAUGAGAGGCCUCUUUUUAAACUUAUAUCUCCGUCAGUCUCCCCACAUUGUUCAAAAUGUCAGCUCCUGGGCAGAAGCAUGGUGGUGUGGCAGCCUGAUCACAGGACUGGCAGGGUCAUGCUGGCUACUAGGAAAAAUCUCCUGAUGGCACAGCGAUGACUGGGGGUCUGAGUAAGAUAAGCAGAAAUUGGAAGAAGAUAAGCAGCUUAUAUUGAGAGUGCAGGAAACCUAAGAUAUGCACAGCCUGAGGAGAAGGCCCAACGACGUAAAUAUUGUGACCCUGAUGGAAGAGACCAUUUUAUGGACAAUCCCUUCAGGGGCUGAAGAGAAUCAAAAUGGAAUGUGAAGAAAGAUGAAAACAAAUGAAAAAUUCAUCCUGGGGAUCUAUUAUUCAUUAGAAAACAACAGAAAGAAUAUAGUUAGAUAAUGAAGUUCUUUCAGCCAGUAAUUUGUUGAAAAGAGGGAAGGGAAUCUCAGCAUAUGGGGAGCAAAAAGUAAACCUGAAAAAAAUUAGAAAGCUCUGUGUUACUGUCCAGAAAACAACCGAGUUUCCUAAGCUAAGAAAAACUUUAAAAAUGUCUUCAUAUAAGAUCUCAGCAGCCCAAAGGUACUGAUGUAAAAGGUAUUUAUAUACAUAUAAAAUGUGCAUAUAUACACAUAAAUAUAUAAAAUUUAAAACAAAUAUAUAUAAUUUUCACGGAAGGCACUAAGACCAUUUUGGAAGCUGAUUGCCAGAACAAAAAGAGGGCCAUCAAAAUCAAGUUAUGCUAGCAUAAAUUAUGGCCAUAUAUAUUAAUUAUAGGAAUCAUAGCCAAUUUUAUUAGAAGGAAUUUAACGCUUACACUUGAACACCACCACCAAAAAAUGUCUGGCUACUGGGAAAUGAGAAUCUGAGUUUUCUCCUCCUAAGUAAUCAAGAUAAUGAGAAGAUCACAGACCACUACAAUGAGAAGUUCAAGAAGACGAUCAGGUAACACUGAGAGAAGCUUGUGGAUCCUGAAAACUGUGUUUAUUGUUUACGUUGAUAAGUAUAGGAUACACUCUAAAUCAAACACAUAAACAUACACACACUGUCCCUUCUAGAGCCCUGCUAAUUUGUUAGUAGAUAAGUCCGAAAAGUAGGCCAUAGUAGUUCUACUUUUUAAAUGCUGGGAUCUGUGAUAUUGAAUUUGUAAUAUUUUGAGAAAAAAACAAUGUGCAGUUUUCUCAAAAGGACAAGCAGUGAGUAUUGUGUUUACUUCCCAGUGACAUGUUGUCCCCCUCGGUCAACAAAAAGAAAUAUAUGUGGGGUGUGAGAUUUUAUCACAUUAAUUUUUAAAAACUAUUUAUUCAAUAAUAUCUUUCAUUCCAAAUAGCAUGAGAUUUUGAGUCUCAUUAUUCAUAGAAUCUCAUUAUUCAUUGGAACCUGUCUUGGAAAAUCUAGGAGGGACCAAAAGGAAAAUUUUAUUUUCUGUCUUUUACAAACUUGCUGUAUUCAUUCAUUUUAAAAUGUAUUUCUUUUUUUUUUUUUUUUUUUUUUUUACCACUUUAGCUCUUAUUUGUUAAACAUAAAAUAAACUUAACCAGGUAGUUAAAAAUAUUUAUAGGUGAUUUUUACCUAAUAAUUAGGUUGGCUUUCUAUAAAAACAUGUGUUUACCCAUAAGAGUCGACAGUAGUUAUCUGCAUUCUUAGUACCUGUAAGACUUGAAUUCAUUGCCACAAAAUACUGAUCAAAAUCUUAGUGGAUAAAAAUAAUAUUUAUGUAUAACAUUUAUGAAUAAAGAUAUUAUGGGCAUUAAUCACUAUAUGAUCAAAAGUAUAAGCAGUUCACAUAUGUGUGCUUAGGUUGGUCCAUUCUGUCACAGCACCUCAUCUAUAUUGUUUUGCUUAGCCUGCUCCCAUUGGAGUAAUCUUUAUUGAACAUUAUUUGGGCAUUACUGCAUUGGUCAUAUGAGAAUGUGGCACAAAAACGUCUUAGGAAACUCAUUUUUAAUUAUCUGUAGGAGCAUAUUGAAAGCAUUGUUCAUUGCAUGACAUGCUUAUCUCUUCAUGAGGAUUAACUGGAAAUUAAUAUUUGCAUCUGCUCCAGUCUCAGUCUUUGGAAUAUGUGUAUAUCACCUAGUAAUUGGUUUGUAUUUAACUUAUGGACACUGAUUUAUGCAACUUGUCUUAUUUAGCCUACCCAUUGUCUGUUACAAAGCACAGAACUGUAUUUGUUAUCCACCUAGUGCCAGUACAUUGCAAAUUAUAAUAUUUCAUGUACUGAUCUUAUUUUCACGUUCACUUUCUUUCCCUGACCCUAUUAUCUUUUGAAUUUCUUUACAUAUUAAUUUUAAUAUUAUUCUAUGAUGCUUAUUUUAUUAACUAUCCAAGGUUUCUCUUUUGUAGACAAGCCAGUAUAUAGCAGCAUCUUAAAAAUAAACAUUCAUCUAUGCAUUCAUUCAAGGCGAAUUAGGACAAAAUGCUGCAAACAAAGCAAGACUGACCUAAGUCAGAGUAUUUGGGUUGAGUUUUGACUCCAGUGAUUACGGAAUCUGUAACCAGAAACCAGUGGGAGCAAUGAAUGGAGGAAGUGUCAUCAUUAAGCUGCCAUCAUUCCCAGUGCAUAGCAGGCUCAAUUCACCCUGUAGCCUUGUGUGGCCUUAAAAACCUCCAACACACACUAAUAGUUUUCUCUAUAGUAUAUAUUUGCAUGUAUAAUCAUGCCUGUUCCACCAUUAAACAAAAUUUUAAUGGAAAAGGCUGUGCCCUUGGGUAGUUAUAACUUGUAAGCACAGGAGUUAACUUUAUUGUGAUAUUAUAAAAGAGUGGUCAAAAUAAUUAAGCAUUCAUGCCUGGCACAGUGGCUUGCACCUGUAAUCCCAGCAUUUUGGGAGGCUGAGGAAGGACGAUCGCUUAAGCCCAGGAGUUUGAGACCAGCCUGGGCAACAUAGAGAGACCUCACCUCUAUAAAAAAAUCAAAAAAAUAGCUGGGUGUGGUGUCACACAGGAGGCUGAGGUGGGAGGAUGGUUUGUUCCCUGGAGGUUGAAGCUGCAGUGACCCACGAUCACACCACUGCACUCCAGCAAGGGCAAGAGAAUGAGACCCUGUCUCAAAACAACAACAACAACAAUAAUAAUAAUAAUAAUUAAGUAUUCUAUUUGAUAAUAUCAUUCUCAUGGUUUAGAGAUUAACUUCAUUGAACAUGACACAGUUUUGAGAGAAAAUUACUUUGAAGAGUAUCCUCAUUUUGGCAACAAAAUAAAAUUGAAAUGUGUUCUCAGAGUAACUUGAGUUGGUGAUAUAAUGAUUUGUGUAUAAACAAAAUCUGAAUACUGCUAAUUAGUCAUGUUUCUCUUAAAUUGGGUAGUUCUAUCACAGGUCAAUAUCAUUCUGUCUCCAACAGAUGCCAGAAUUUAUUUUAUCAUUCUAACAAUGUAAUUACUGAAUUUUUCUCAUCUCUCCUAAUCUGCGAUUCUAUUAGCACUGACCAGUAUAAUACCACCUUAACUAUAUGCAUAUUUGAUUUCCUUUUUUAAACUCUAUAACUGGUUGUCUCUUUUUUAGGUUGAGGUAGGUCUAAUUGACUUAAUUUAGGAAAGGUAGUUUAUUUAAAAUAAUAUCACUUUCUUGUCAUUACUUUCCCAAAUUUGUAGUCUAAAAGUAUCAAAUACUCAUUUUUCAUUACACA